CCUACGGGGGGCAGCAGUGGGGAAUAUUGCACAAUGGGGGAAACCCUGAUGCAGCGACGCCGCGUGAGUGAAGAAGUAAUUCGUUACGUAAAGCUCUAUCAGCAGGGAAGAAAUACUGACCUUACGGUCAGCAGACGGUACCUGAGUAAGAAGCCCCGGCUAACUACGUGCCAGCAGCCGCGGUAAUACGUAGGGGGCAAGCGUUAUCCGGAUUUACUGGGUGUAAAGGGAGCGUAGACGGUGUGCCAAGUCUGGAGUGAAAUGCCGCAGCUUAAUUGCGGAACUGCUUUGGAAAGUGGCGAACUAGAGUGCGGGAGGGGUAAGCGGAAUUCCUAGUGUAGCGGUGAAAUGCGUAGAUAUUAGGAGGAACACCGGUGGCGAAGGCGGCUUACUGGACCGUAACUGACGUUGAGGCUCGAAAGCGUGGGGAGCAAACAGGAUUAGAUACCCUAGUAGUC
rnacentral:rRNA from 1 species